GUUCCCGUAGCGGAGUGGUUACCGCGUGACUCUUAUAGGCUAAGGAUUCACUUGAUGGUCGUGGCUCUAUGGUAGAAAUGUCAAGGUCCGGGGUUCGACCCCCCGCGGGAACA
rnacentral:tRNA from 1 species